UACGGAGGGAGCUAGCGUUAUUCGGAAUUACUGGGCGUAAAGCGCGCGUAGGCGGCUUUGUAAGUUAGAGGUGAAAGCCCGGAGCUCAACUCCGGAACUGCCUUUAAGACUGCAUCGCUAGAAUUGUGGAGAGGUGAGUGGAAUUCCGAGUGUAGAGGUGAAAUUCGUAGAUAUUCGGAAGAACACCAGUGGCGAAGGCGACUCACUGGACACAUAUUGACGCUGAGGUGCGAAAGCGUGGGGAGCAAACAGG
rnacentral:rRNA from 1 species